UAUGUUUGUUCUUUCUGCUGAAAUCAAUCUCUUUGAAGGAAGCAAGAAUAGUUUAGCAAAAGAAAAUAUUAUUAAUGCUGGUAAGAGAACACAGAGGAAAAUCUUUAGUAAACAUUUCUUUUCCAGUGUUGAUUAUAAUUCUGUCUAAUGUUUAUUUUCAUAGUUUUCUUUGAUCCAAACACAAAUAACAAUAAAGUUAACUCAAUUUCUUUGAACAAACAAAACUAAACUGUGGCCAAGUUUGGAGCAAAUUUUAAAGUGGCUUUUUUGUUUUUCUCCCAAGCCACAUAACAGAUUUAUAGAGUAGAUAUUUGCAUAGCUCACAUCCUUCCCUGUAUAGGAAUGUCUCUAUGGCUAACAGUAAUUUACCUGCUAUGGGCCUCUUUCCGACUUUAUUGAACAGCCUGGGGCCUGUAAGCAUCUGCGCACAUACUCAAUAGCAGUCAAGGGAGCACCAGCAGUUCAAGGUUUUGGAUCUGGGCUGACCGUGUUGUGUUAUGAUAAUUGCUACAGUUUCAUAAAGGUUGACUGUGGCUCUGCUGGGGUGGCUGGUGGGUUAUAAAACCAGAACGUAGUCAGUCACCCUCACUGCAUUUCAUACCCUUACCUACAUGACAGGCAGAGAGGCAGGGCAACGAUGGCAGCAGGCCGGGUCUGUGCCUGUCACAGUCUCUGCACAAGGGGAGCUGGAAAGGCAUUGUUAGUGCUUCUCCCUCCUGGACCAGAACCAAGCAGCCAGAGCAUCAGGUUGUAUCUUCACAGUCUUCUUCCAUCAGAAAUUUGACAGACAAGUAUUCCAACCAAGGGACAAGAUUGUGUGUACAGGAAGGAGAGUUGAACAAUUCAUCCUAUAAAGGAAUUCAAAACAGAAUUGGAAAUCCUUUGUAAGAAGAAUAGCAGUUGGGAUUAUGGCUGCAUGCUUUCACUAAUGACUCUACAAACAUUUAUCCAGAGAUAACCCAGAAAUUCAGUUGCAUUUAAUAUUCAGAUAAGGACCACUCACCUGCUGUUAAGCUACAACAUCUACAAUCAUUCUUUGAAUACUGAUAAUUAUAUGAAGCAGAAUCCCCUAGAGGCCGGAAGUCUAGUCUGGAUUCACCUGGAAUACAAAGAUGAAUAAUAUUGCAUAUUACAUUCACCCAAGUAUUUGCAAUUUAUAGAAAUGUCCAUUCAUGCUCCUGAAAAAAAAGAUGUGUAUUUCCCUAGGGGUACAGAAUAAGGUGAUAAAAACCUGUGUGGGGGACUGUUUGGAUUGUAACUCCUAGAGUGUCUGAUGUUGAUUAAUUAAUAAACAAAUAAAUCAUUACAUUU